GAUGAAGAACGCAGCGAAAUGCGGUAAGUAAUGUGAAUUGCAGAAUCCAGUGAAUCAUCGAAUCUUUGAACGCACAUUGCGCCCGCCAGCAUUCUGGCGGGCAUGCCUGUUCGAGCGUCAUUUCAACCCUCGACCUCCCUUUGGGGAAGUCGGCGUUGGGGACCGGCAGCACACCGCCGGCCCUGAAAUGGAGUGGCGGCCCGUCCGCGGCGACCUCUGCGUAGUAAUCCAACUCGCACCGGAACCCCGACGCGGCCACGCCGUAAAACACCCAACUUCUGAACGUUGACCUCGAAUCAGGUAGGACUACCCGCUGAACUUAAGCAUAUCAAUAAGCGGAGGA
rnacentral:misc_RNA from 1 species